rnacentral:rRNA from 2 species
GAUGAACGCUGGCGGCGUGCUUAAUACAUGCAAGUCGAACGGAGACUGUAGCAAUACUGUCUUAGUGGCGAACGGGUGAGUAACGCGUUGGUGACCUGCCCCGAAGAGGGGGAUAACAGUCCGAAAGGAUUGCUAAUACCCCAUGUGGUCGUUUGGAUUAGAUGCCUUAUGACUAAACGGAUUUAUUCGCUUCGGGAGGGGCCUGCGUCCCAUCAGCUAGUUGGUGAGGUAAUAGCUUACCAAGGCGAUGACGGGUAGGGGACCUGAGAGGGUGGCCCCCCACAAUGGAACUGAAACACGGUCCAUACACCUACGGGUGGCAGCAGUAGGGAAUAUUGGUAAUCUGGGAAACCGGGAACCAGCAACGCCGCGUGCGCGAUGACGGCCUUCGGGUUGUAAAGCGCUUUUUAAAGGGAUGAGGAAGGACAGUACCUUUAGAAUAAGCCUCGGCUAACUACGUG